rnacentral:lncRNA from 1 species
GAGGAAAACACCCAGAAAUGCUGGCUUUGCCAAACUGGUUGGAGACGACUGUAAAUGACUAGAAAAUGGAAUCCAGGAAAGAGCCCAGGAAAUUCUGGAAGAGGAGCCAAAGGAGAAGACAUCAUCAGAGAGAUAAGGAGAAGCUUGGAGGAAAGCGUGUAACCAAUGUCAGGGAGGAAGCCCUGGUGUGUCAAAGGCAGCAAGAAGCACAGCAAAAUAGCAGAGGAAGGUCUGUUGGAUUUCAUCACAUGAAGGCAGCUUCCUGGCUGCACCCCUCAUGAGUGGGAUGACAGCUCCGUCCACCGGCAUCCUCUCCUUCAUUCCCUUCAUUCAAUCCAUCUCCAGAAACGGCUGCCUUUCUGUUCUCCCAGCACCCUGCCCUACCUUCUCCAAGAGUUCCCAAAGCAUGAUUCCAGACAAGCAGCAUCCACAACACCUGUGUAUUUGCUGCAAAUGUGGGUACACAGCCUGAAUUAGAAUCUCAGGAGAUGGGACCCAGAAAACUGUUUCAAUAAGCCCUGGAGCGCUUGAUGAAGUUUGAGACCCUCUGCCUUCUGCAUCAUUCCCAGUGAUCCUCUUCCACAAUCC